AGGUUCUCCAGCGUGGUGUUCAGCGGCUUGAUAUGCAAGCUGUUAUUGUUCAUCACCACGUUGCCGCUGGCGUGUACCCGCUCGCCAUCCAGCGGAAUAUCCAGGUUGAGUUUACCGCGCACGUUACCGCCAAUCUGCAACUGCUGCAGCGCGGCGCCAAGCGUCUCUUUCAGCGGUGUCUGAUUAAAGUAGUCAGCGAUAUCCUGCCCUUCACCGCUCAGGUCGCCAUCGAUAAUCAGCUUCUCUUUGAGGUAAUCCGGGAUCACCGCGCUUACGUUACGCGCAUCAACCUUGCCCAGUUUCGUCUGUUCCGCCUUCAUCCACAGACCGUCGUUAACGAAGUCGAGAUCGAUAUCCAGGUUUUGCAGGGCUGGCCAGCCCGGCUGGAACUGAUACGUGCCAUUGCGCAGCGGCA
rnacentral:ncRNA from 1 species